UACGUAGGUGGCAAGCGUUGUCCGGAUUUACUGGGCGUAAAGGGCGUGCAGGCGGUUGGUUAAGUCUGGGGUGAAAGCUCCCGGCUCAACUGGGAGAGGUCCUUGGAUACUGGCCGACUUGAGGGAGGCAGAGGAGAGUGGAAUUCCCGGUGUAGUGGUGAUAUGCGUAGAUAUCGGGAGGAACACCAGUGGCGAAGGCGGCUCUCUGGGCCUUACCUGACGCUGAGACGCGAAAGCGUGGGGAGCGAACCGG
rnacentral:rRNA from 1 species